GUGGAGCAGUUGGUAGCUCGUCGGGCUCAUAACCCGAAGGUCGUAGGUUCAAGUCCUGCCUCCGCAACCA
rnacentral:tRNA from 1 species